rnacentral:rRNA from 1 species
UACGUAGGGUGCAAGCGUUGUCCGGAAUUAUUGGGCGUAAAGGGCUCGUAGGCGGUCCAUCGCGUCGGGAGUGAAAAGCUGGGGCUUAACCCCAGUCCUGCUUCCGAUACGGGUGGACUAGAGGUAUGCAGGGGAGAACGGAAUUCCUGGUGUAGCGGUGAAAUGCGCAGAUAUCCGGAGGAACACCGAAGGCGAAGGCAGUGUCCUGGGGAGUACCUGACGCUCAGGUGCGAAAGCCAGGGGAGCGAACGGG